AGAUAUAUUGAAAUAUUAAAAGAGCACAAACCUAAACUCGUCUGGACUGAAAAAAUUGCUGAACACUACUUGGAAUAUAAAAAAAGUAAAGGAAACAAGCAUAUAGUCUUCUACCCAACUUUGAAGUCCAUUCAACUGCGGUUAGAACUUGCAAAGCAACUGGGCACAGGAAUCGCUAUCUGGGAAUUGGGCCAAGGCUUGGAUUAUUUUUAUGAUUUGCUUUAAAAAAAUGCUCUUUUCUUCACUGACCUUUCAUGUUCAGUCAAAUGAAGGGGGACGAUGUGGGCAGGACAUUUAUUUGGGGGGAGGCAGCUAUAUAAUUUAUAUGGAACCUGCUUCAGAUUUUCCAAUAAAGGAUAUCUUUGGAGGUAUCGCCUUUCUUUUACUGCAUGUAAGUGAAUAAUUUUAAAGCAGAGAGAGACACCAGUACUGGUGUGCUGGAAACCUAACUACAACGA